rnacentral:rRNA from 1 species
UCAGCUCGUGUCGUGAGAUGUUGGUUAGUCCGCAACGAGCGCAACCCCUACUUGUUAGUUGCCAUCAUUCAGUUGGGCACUCUAGCGGGACUGCCGGUAAUAAACCGGAGGAAGGUGGGGAUGACGUCAAAUCAUCAUGCCCCCUUAUGACCUGGGCUACACACGUGCUACAAUGGUUGGUACAACGAGUUGCGAGUCGGUGAUGGCGAGCUAAUCUCUUAAAGCCAUUCUCAGUUCGGAUUGUAGGCUGCAACUCGCCUACAUGAAGUCGGAAUCGCUAGUAAUCGCGGAUCAGCACGCCGCGGUGAAUACGUUCCCGGGCCUU